AGAGUUUGAUCCUGGCUCAGGACGAACGCUGGCGGCGUGCCUAAUACAUGCAAGUCGAACGCUUCUUUCCUCCCGAGUGCUUGCACUCAAUUGGAAAGAGGAGUGGCGGACGGGUGAGUAACACGUGGGUAACCUACCCAUCAGAGGGGGAUAACACUUGGAAACAGGUGCUAAUACCGCAUAACAGUUUAUGCCGCAUGGCAUAAGAGUGAAAGGCGCUUUCGGGUGUCGCUGAUGGAUGGACCCGCGGUGCAUUAGCUAGUUGGUGAGGUAACGGCUCACCAAGGCCACGAUGCAUAGCCGACCUGAGAGGGUGAUCGGCCACACUGGGACUGAGACACGGCCCAGACUCCUACGGGAGGCAGCAGUAGGGAAUCUUCGGCAAUGGACGAAAGUCUGACCGAGCAACGCCGCGUGAGUGAAGAAGGUUUUCGGAUCGUAAAACUCUGUUGUUAGAGAAGAACAAGGACGUUAGUAACUGAACGUCCCCUGACGGUAUCUAACCAGAAAGCCACGGCUAACUACGUGCCAGCAGCCGCGGUAAUACGUAGGUGGCAAGCGUUGUCCGGAUUUAUUGGGCGUAAAGCGAGCGCAGGCGGUUUCUUAAGUCUGAUGUGAAAGCCCCCGGCUCAACCGGGGAGGGUCAUUGGAAACUGGGAGACUUGAGUGCAGAAGAGGAGAGUGGAAUUCCAUGUGUAGCGGUGAAAUGCGUAGAUAUAUGGAGGAACACCAGUGGCGAAGGCGGCUCUCUGGUCUGUAACUGACGCUGAGGCUCGAAAGCGUGGGGAGCAAACAGGAUUAGAUACCCUGGUAGUCCACGCCGUAAACGAUGAGUGCUAAGUGUUGGAGGGUUUCCGCCCUUCAGUGCUGCAGCAAACGCAUUAAGCACUCCGCCUGGGGAGUACGACCGCAAGGUUGAAACUCAAAGGAAUUGACGGGGGCCCG
rnacentral:rRNA from 1 species